rnacentral:rRNA from 1 species
GGUUAAGUUAGAAAGGGCGCACGGUGGAUGCCUUGGCACUAGGAGCCGAUGAAGGACGGGACUAACUCCGAUAUGCUUCGGGGAGCUGUAAGUAAGCUUUGAUCCGGAGAUUUCCGAAUGGGGGAACCCCCUGCUCGUAAUGGAGUAGGAUCCAUAUCUGAAUUCAUAGGGUAUGGAAGGCAGACCUGGGGAACUGAAACAUCUAAGUACCCAGAGGAAGAGAAAGCAAUUGCGAUUCCCCAAGUAGCGGCGAGCGAAACGGGAUUAGCCCAAACCAAGAGGCUUGCCUCUUGGGGUUGUAGGACACUCUAUACGGAGUCAUAAAAGAAUGAAGUAGAUGAACAGGUCUGGAAAGGCCGGUCAAAGAAGGUAACAACCCUGUAAUCAAAACUUCGUUCUCUCUUGAGUGGAUCCUGAGUACGGCGGGACACGAGAAAUCCCGUCGGAAGCUGGGAGGACCAUCUCCCAAGGCUAAAUACUCCCUAGUGACCGAUAGUGAACCAGUACCGUGAGGGAAAGGUGAAAAGCACCCCGGGAGGGGAGUGAAAGAGAACCUGAAACCGUGUGCCUACAAGUAGUCAGAGCCCGUUAACGGGUGAUGGCGUGCCUUUUGUAGAAUGAACCGGCGAGUUACGAUUUCAUGCAAGGUUAAGUUGAAUAGACGGAGCCGUAGCGAAAGCGAGUCUGAAUAGGGCGAAUGAAGUAUGAGGUCGUAGACCCGAAACCAGGUGAUCUACCCAUGUCCAGGGUGAAGGUAAGGUAACACUUACUGGAGGCCCGAACCCACGUACGUUGAAAAGUGCGGGGAUGAGGUGUGGGUAGGGGUGAAAUUCCAAUCGAACUUGGAGAUAGCUGGUUCUCUCCGAAAUAGCUUUAGGGCUAGCCUCAAGGGAAGAGUCUUGGAGGUAGAGCACUGUUUGGACUAGGGGCCCUCAUCGGGUUACCGAAUUCAGAUAAACUCCGAAUGCCAGAGACUUACUCCUUGGGAGUCAGACUACGAGUGAUAAGAUCCGUGGUCAAGAGGGAAACAGCCCAGACCGCCAGCUAAGGUCCCAAAGUAUACGUUAAGUGGAAAAGGAUGUGGAGUUGCUUAGACAACCAGGAUGUUGGCUUAGAAGCAGCCACCAUUUAAAGAGUGCGUAAUAGCUCACUGGUCGAGUGACUCUGCGCCGAAAAUGUACCGGGGCUAAACGUAUCACCGAAGCUGCGGAUUGACA